AAUGUUAAUUUUAUUAAUUUCAAUAUGGUAAAUGAAAAAAAAAAAUUUAAUAAUAACAAUAAUCAUAAUAGUAGUAAUAAUAAUAAUAAUAAUAGUAACAACAGUAAUAGUAACAAUAAUAAUAGUAGUACUUGUAGUAGUAGUAGUAGUGGUAAUAGUAAUAAUAGUAAUAAUAAUAAUAAUAAUAAUAACAGUAAUAAUAAUAACAGUAAUAAUAAUAAUAAUAAUAAUAACAUGAGCUUAAUGAGCAAUUGUGCAAACACUUCUUCUCAUGUUGGCAUGUAUUUUGAAAAUAAUCCAAAUGGUAGCAGUAGUAAUAGUAGUAGUAGUAAUGGUGGUGGGGUGGUAGGAAGUAUGGGUAAUGGUAUCAGUGUAGGUGUAGGUGGUUUAAAUAAUGUCCAUCAAACUAAUAAUUAUACUAUGCCAAAAAAUAUUAAUGAAAAUUACAUACUUGAUAUAAACAUGCUUAAUAACAUCAAUAACAGUAAUAGUAGUAAUAAUAAUAAUAAUGACAUGAGCGGAUUAAUAAAUAAUAAAAAUAACCAUUUGAAACUUAAUUCUAAUAUACGAAAUGGAUUAGGAUGUUCUAUAAAUACAAACAUUAAUGCAAAGUCAAAUCAAAGCAAUAAUGAUAAUAAUUCAACACACAAUCAUGGUCAUAGUAACCAUAACUCACCAUUUGGUAAUAAUUUAUAUGACAACCAUAUGAUGCAUAGGAAUAUAAAAAGUAUGAUGUACCCCUGUGGUAAUGUGAAAGAGACGAAAACAGUUAAAAAUAAUCUUAUGCAUAAUAACAGAAACCCUAACAACAGUAGUACCAGUAACAAUAACAAUAACAAUAACAAUAACGGUAACAACAAAAACAAAACCAACAACAGCAGUAACAGUAACAGUAAUAUUAGUGACUACAACACAGAUGAUGUGUUACAUAGCAUAAACUACGCAAAUUACCAUGGUAACAUGGGUAGUACUAAUGAUAAUAGAAAUAUGCUUACAUAUAAUAAUAUCCUUGAUUAUGAAAGAGUAAUGAAUAACCAAAACUAUAAUGAUAGAAAUAACACAGAUGACAAUGUGUCUAUUGGUGAGGACAUACAUAACAGUUAGCGAUUUUUAGGAUCUGUUUGGACUAGCAUAUAUAUAUAUAUAUAUAUAUAUAAGGGAUAAAUGCGUAUACAUAUUAGGAAAUACAUAUUAAACAGCAAAAAAAAAAAAGACAAAAAAAAAUAAAAUAGACAAAUAAAUAAAAAAGUAAGUAAUU
rnacentral:lncRNA from 1 species